GUAAAGCACGUUCCCUGAGUAAAGCGGGUGGCUGUGACUAAAUGACCCGUUUGCUUGGACUCUAUUUAUUAUGUCCCAGCAGUUAAAUAAUGGGUCUGAAAGUUCCUGAAUCGGUUCAAGAUAUUAAUUUUAUGUACCUGCAUGCUUCAUGUGGCUAUCGCUCCGCUUCAUUUUGUCUGCGGCACUCGACAAUAACAUCGAAUUAUUAUGAUUAUGAUUAAUAUGAUUGAUUUCCCCUCUAUGUUUACCAUGAAACGUGCUACAGGCUAAAUAUUUUUUGUGCGAUUAGUUUUAUGGUGGACAGCUGAGGGCAACUUGUACUGGGGUUGUUGUUUUUCACGUUUAACCUCUGCAAUUUUCUUUUGACUACACGCGCUAUUGUUAUAGGUCAUUUCUGAAGUAAGGCGGUGAGUAAUAUAUUGACAUGAGGCCAUUGUCCUCCUAAGCGAACCUAUUGUAAGGAUAAUCUUAGGUUCUUUAGCUUCUUGCUGCCAGAUAACCAAUUGUAUAAAUCAUAUAGCUUUCCCCCAGUGUUACCUCUAUAUUAAUUAGCCAUUUUGACUAUUUAAAGAAUAUAUAAUUUAAUAUGUGGUUUUGAUAGCGUCUGAUUGUUUCGUCAUUCACGAGUAAUAGAAUAUCCUGGCUCCCAGGCUGUGGACGGCUUCUGUUCGGCGGGGGGGUGUUCUGAGGACACCCCUCCAAUACAGAUAUGCUGGAAGAUAAAAUCUGCAUAGCCGAUCUGCUUUUAAACAGACAUGCUUUUGUUGGCUGGAUAAAGCAGACAGACAAUCACUUUUCAAUACGCUGAUAGCGUGAUACGAAUGCCUUUCAAACAGUGUUAUUUAUAAUGCCGAUCAAAAAUGUCCUUCGGUAAGUGCCUGUCAAUUGAUUUAUGAUAUUUGAACAGCCGUGACAAUCGGUGCACAUGUGUUCUUUCCAUAUUGCACUAUAGGGUGUUUCAGUAUUUACAUAUGUGCAUGGGGGGACAGCACACUUUAAAGUCAUGAUAAAUAACCCCCAUAGAAAAGAGUCGCAUGCAGUCAGCGUGUGGUGUGUGUCUGCGUCUCUGUCACAAGUGUGGAUCUUUUUUUUUUCCCUGUAAUUUGUAGAAGGGAGUGUCCUGGCUUUUCAGUGUUCCAUGAAAGGUGGCUAUUACACAAAUAGGUGGGGCCCGUGUUCCCAUGGCUGAUGGUAUUGCUCAUCCCAGGUGGAUUUGCAGCCUAAUGCAGAGAUGAAAAUUACGGCAUUGGGAAACCAUCAGCUUCACAAAGGUUUUCUUUGGGCUAAAUCUGACGCAGCUUAAUUUGGCGGGAUGGGGUGGCGCUGGACUGAGUCGGGCCGAGCUGAGCCGAGCUGGGCCGCGUCAGACCAGGCCUGCCUGGCAGGAUGAGAACGUCGGGGGUUUGGGUAGUAGAUCCGGGUCAGAUCCAGUUACAGAACGCGCUGGUCCAGUUUCUUCUCGGUGUGUGAUGCAUGGCGCUCCGGGGACAGUGAGUAAGAGGUUGUUUGCACUUCGUAUGUCUGGCUUAUGAUGAGGCAGCAGGGUUCCGUGUGGACCUGUUCUCCAGUUCUGGGUUCUUCCCCAGGGUGGGAUGCUCGUACUUGCUUUUUCCCGCAUCUGCCUUGGCUUCAGAAGAACCGCUUUGCUCACAGUCUAGUGGGGACAGGGAUGACCGACAGCAGGUACCGAAUACCACUGGCACUAAAAGGGCCUGUGUUGGCAUAGAGAACGUUUUGCGCAACAAACACAAAGUUUCCAGUGUUUCUUCAUGCGCACCUGGGAUUUCAUGGGGAAGGAGCUGCCUGUCCGGGCCUGUCCCUCCAGUGCCCCCCACACAAUGUCGAGGGCCUGAGCGACUGGCAGGCUGGAAUGCAGCGGCUCCUGGGUCCAUGCCUUGCAUGUCGCCCAUACCUGGCCGGGAGGCUGAGGGCCGCGGUGGGGAGAGAGAGGCCAAGGAGAAUGCAGGACUCGCAUUCCUGAAGGCCUUAAAGAUCCGUCAAUGAACAGGCAGCCAUCUCCAUCAAAAGGCUCCUCAAGACGUACGUCCCAUCUCGCCCCCUUCUGCCAGCAACCUACCGCCGCUUGGAGCUCCCUCCACCACGUGAGGAGUGUCACUCCAGAUGGUUCUCCUGUGUGGUUCUCCAAUGGUGGAAUGAGCUGCUGAACCUUCGAGAAACACCCCAAAACCCAUCUCCUCCAGGAACACCCCUUCUAACCUGAUGCCUCUUUACAUUCUUUGAAUGUUCUUAUGUUGCACUUCUGGUCCUUGAAUAGUCUUCUUAGGAUGUUGCUUUGUUAGAAGGUACUGUGUAUCUCCUGCUCUGAAACUGCUUACACUUGUACCUGGGCUCCUCCUAGUUGCACCGAUGCCUGGAGUUGACUCCUUGACAGCAGCUGCCUUUGAACUAUCUGCCUCACUUAGAGGACAUGGGCCGCGAUCCGGAUCAGCCCGUAGAACCUGCAGCACCAGGUGAGCCCAGGUACAGUGGAGACUCUGCAGCAGAAUGAAGACCUGACCCGAAAGCUCCAGGGACAGGCAGCAGAAAGACUACACUUCCGCCGUGGAGUGUGUGGGUUCGGUCCAGCAUCCGGCUGUGUGAAA